ensembl:lncRNA
GUCCCUUGGACUGCAAGGAGAUCCAACCAGUCCAUCCUAGAGGAGAUCACUUCUGAGUGUUCAUUGAAAGGACUAAUGUUGAAGCUGAAACUCCAAUACUUUGGCCCCCUGAUGGGAAGAACUGACUCACUGGAAAAGACCCUGAUGCUGGGAGAUUGAAGGCAGGAAGAGAAGGGGACAACAGAGGAUCAGAUGGUUGGAUGGCAUCACCGACUCAAUGGACAUGAGUUUGAGUAAACUCCGGGAGUUGGUGAAGGACAGGGAGGCCUGGCAUGCUGCAGUCCAUGAGGUCACAAAGAGUCAGACACGACUGAGCGACUGGACUGAACUGAGCAGUUGUCAUCUAGCACCCUGGACUCUGUUUAAUUUAACAACCUGAGUUCCUUCCUCGCACUGUUUCUCCACACCUGAGCUCCUGCAUAACUUAUUUUCUGGGACCCUUGAAUAUUAUCUGGAUGUCUCUGGAAAGCAAAAUAUCUUGCUUGAUGGUGCAGCUCUACGUCAAAAAAGCAAACAACUCAAUCACCAGAUGGACAGAAGAUCUAAAGAGACAGUUCUUCACGGAAGACAUACAGAUGGCCAAAAAGUACAUGAAAAGAUUCUCAGCCUAAUUAUUCAGUUCAGUUCAG